UCCUACACGUAACCUGCGACUCGAGCCUCUGUGGCUGCUGGGAACAGCUGCAGUACAGCCUGGACUUACAUGGACAGGGAAAAACAAGCAAGAAGCAGAGGUAUCUCAGAGAAAUCUUGCUGAAGUUACUCCACUCAAGCUCUGGUCCAAUGAAAGCAAACUAGACUGCAAGAGGAAGCACAGACAAAGGGGAACCAGACCUACUUUCUCUCUCUGGGUCCAGCAGAAUCUACCAUGAAGCAAAACAACAGCCUGAGUUUGCUUUGGCUCAGAUCAGAGCACUGGAUGCUGACAGCCCUGUUUCUACCCGUGUUUGGUACCUCUGAAUCUUGGGCACUGUGCACACUCUGGUCCUCUUUACUCCAGAUUCAACCUGCUCCUGCCCUCUGCAAGAGCGGGCUGAAGAAGCCUCCCAACAGGCAUUUCAAAGACUAGAAACAUGGACAACACAUACCACUUUCCACAGACUAGAAUCCAUGCCAAGGAGAACUGCAUCUAUUCAGCUGCUCCUCAGUUUAAGGAGAGGAAGAUAAGAAAGAAAAUAGCU